CCCAAUAGGCCAAAAUAUAUGGAAGGAGAUAUUGUUGAUCUUUUGCUACAAUUGAAGAAAGAGCAAUUAACACCAAUUGAUCUCACUAUGGAGGAUAUAAAAGGAAUUCUCAUGAAUGUGUUAGUUGCAGGAUCAGACACUAGUGCAGCUGCUACUGUUUGGGCAAUGACAGCCUUGAUAAAGAAUCCAAAAGCCAUGGAAAAAGUUCAGUUAGAAAUCAGAAAAUCAGUUGGGAAGAAAGGCAUUGUAAGUGAAGAAGAUGUCCAAAACAUGCCUUAUUUCAAAGCAGUGAUAAAAGAAAUAUUUAGAUUGUAUCCACCAGCUCCACUUCUAGUUCCAAGAGAAUCAAUGGAAAAAACCAUAUUAGAAGGUUAUGAAAUUCGGCCGGGAACCAUAGUUCAUGUUAACGCUUGGGCUAUAGCAAGGGAUCCUGAAAUUUGGAAAAAUCCAGAUGAAUUUAUACCUGAGAGAUUCUUGAAUAGUGAUAUCGAUUAUAAGGGUCAAGAUUUUGAGUUACUUCCAUUUGGUGCAGGCAGAAGAGGUUGUCCAGGUAUUGCACUUGGGGUUGCAUCCAUGGAACUUGCUUUGUCAAAUCUUCUUUAUGCAUUUGAUUGGGAGUUGCCUAAUGGAGUGAAAAAAGAAGACAUUGACACAAAUGUCAGGCCUGGAAUUACCAUGCAUAAGAAAAACGAACUUUGCCUCAUCCCUCAAAAUUAUCUAUAGAUUAUAUUGUGACGUGGAUCUCAAACUAGUUCUGUGAGCUCUCAGCUAAAGUUAUUGUUUCGGUUCGAAAUAUGUAUGCAUAUUUAGAAUAAAUUAAGAAGGAGUGAUUCCGAGCUAUAUAGAUGUUACGAAACGAAUCAAGUGAUUUGGAGCUUUGAAGUCUGAGUAAAAGCCCAAGAAAUUAAGCCGGGAUCGUGUCAGGGAUCAACUUUGAUAGUUAAGAACAAACGAAGACUCGAGUAGGCAUAUUGCGCACUGUCUUGUAAAAUACACAUAACUUUUUUUUUCAGAACUACAUUUUGGCUUCACAAUAUAUGGUUGGAAAGCUAACUAAAAGGGCUACAAUUUUUGGGUUUUACGUGUUUCCAAAUUCUAAACUGAACAGGGAGAAUACUGGGCCACUAGCGCAAUCGCGCUAGUCAAACCUAGGAAACGUGUCCUUUUUCAUAUUGGAGAAGGUAUAAUUAUUUGGGCCCAACCCUACUUGUUAUAUAUACAUGGAAAAAAACGGUAUAUUUUAUGGAAGGAGGACGUUUUUUAGAGUAACUUUUGACGAAGGAAGAGCACAAAGCCGCCGUGGAGGCCGGGUUUCAUCUUUUCUUCAACCAAACUUAGUCUUUUUAUGUUUCUUUGUAUGAUUUGUUGUUUUGCUUCCACGUCUAUGUGGAGCUAAACUUCACAUUCUAGGGUUGUGGUUCUUUCAUAACUAUUGUUAUUUUGAUA